UGUACGCACGAAGAUCGACUCCCUGCUCCUCGCCUGUUCUCUUACUUUUAUCCUCAACUCUCCGACAAACGGCUGACAGUGUUACUAUGUGACUGAAAAUUAAACUGACAAAGGUCGGUACACUAGAUUUGCCUACGAGCACGAGUACAUCCAAUAUGCACUGUUACAUUUCAUCAGGCAACUUUUUUGGUAUCUAUAUAUUUUUAGUGUGCCGCUUAGGCAAUCGAGACUAAACGUUUGUACUUGUUACUACAGCUUUGACAUUUACUUAUUUAUUUUUUUUAUAGGUUUGCAGUUCCGGGUGACUGCGGAAGGUUGAUAACUUGUGUUGAAGGACAUCCUAGAUUAAUAACCUGCGGCGAUGGGCAACUUUUUGAUUCUGUCACUUUGAGUUGCAUGGACCCCAAAGAAUAUCCGUUAUGCGCUAAAGAAGCUUAGAUGGCAUCUAAAGGAUACACAGACCGUUCUAAAAGAUGAAUACAAAUAUAUUUCCAGUACAAUUGAUAACGGGGGAGGGGCAAUAUGUAUGUGAAUAUACGUAGAUGUAAAAAAUUUUUUUUACAAAUGAUAUUAUAAUAACAAUUUGAGUAUCUGGCCAUUUUUGGGUUUGUAACUUUCAUGUUCAAUUAAUAAUACUAAAUAAAAUAAGAUUUACAAAUCAA